rnacentral:tRNA from 1 species
AUUUAUCUAGUAUAGAAGUAUAGCUGACUUCCAAUCAGAAGGCCUGAAUCUUUUCAGGAUAAGUA